UACAGAGGUCUCGAGCGUUGUUCGGAUUCAUUGGGCGUAAAGGGUGCGUAGGUGGCGCUGUAAGUCGGGUGUGAAAUCCUGAGGCUUAACCUCGGAACUGCAUUCGAUACUGCGGCGCUUGAGGACUGGAGAGGAGACUGGAAUUUACGGUGUAGCGGUGAAAUGCGUAGAUAUCGUAAGGAAGACCAGUGGCGAAGGCGGGUCUCUGGACAGUUCCUGACACUGAGACACGAAGGCCAGGGGAGCAAACGGG
rnacentral:rRNA from 1 species